rnacentral:misc_RNA from 1 species
UUAAUUCUAGGUUUGAUUCAGACACAGGCGGCUGGGUUGCAUAAAUACGGCGCCACGGGGGCGCCGAAGCACGGCUUUAUUCCACGGGUUUUGAGGUUGAAGGCCGAAGCCAUUCGUUAAUGAUCCCUCCGCAGGUUCACCUACGGAGA